GACGAACGCUGGCGGCGUGCUUAACACAUGCAAGUCGAACGGAAAGGCCCUGCUUUUGUGGGGUGCUCGAGUGGCGAACGGGUGAGUAACACGUGAGUAACCUGCCCUUGACUUUGGGAUAACUUCAGGAAACUGGGGCUAAUACCGGAUAGGAGCUCCUGCUGCAUGGUGGGGGUUGGAAAGUUUCGGCGGUUGGGGAUGGACUCGCGGCUUAUCAGCUUGUUGGUGGGGUAGUGGCUUACCAAGGCUUUGACGGGUAGCCGGCCUGAGAGGGUGACCGGCAACUUGGGGCUGGGGUACGGGCCCGGAUUCCUAGGGGGGGAAGAGGGGGGAAUAUUGCACAAUGGGCGGAAGCCUGAUGCAGCAACGCCGCGUGCGGGAUGACGGCCUUCGGGUUGUAAACCGCUUUCGCCUGUGACGAAGCGUGAGUGACGGUAAUGGGUAAAGAAGCACCGGCUAACUACGUG
rnacentral:rRNA from 1 species